rnacentral:misc_RNA from 1 species
AGCAGCCGCGGUAAUUCCAGCUCCAAUAGCGUAUAUUAAAGUUGUUGCAGUUAAAAAGCUCGUAGUUGAAUUUCGAGAUCAAAUUGUUGGUCGUGCCUUGGUACGCACUGGCAUUAUUGGUUUCUCCCUUCUGACGAACCAUGAUGUCAUUAAUUUGGUGUCUUGGGGAAUCAGGACUGUUACUUUGAAAAAAUUAGAGUGUUUAAAGCAGGCUCACGCUUGAAUACAUUAGCAUGGAAUAAUGAAAUAGGACGUUUGAUUCUAUUUUGUUGGUUUCUAGGAUCGACGUAAUGAUUAAUAGGGAUAGUUGGGGGCAUUAGUAUUCAAUUGUCAGAGGUGAAAUUCUUGGAUUUAUUGAAGACUAACUACUGCGAAAGCAUUUGCCAAGGAUGUUUUCAUUAAUCAAGAACGAAAGUUAGGGGAUCGAAGACGAUCAGAUACCGUCGUAGUCUUAACCAUAAACUAUGCCGACUAGGGAUCGGAUGGUGUUAAUUUUUUAAUGACUCAUUCGGCGCCUUAC